AUUUCAUUGAUCUGGAUUUGGUC
rnacentral:miRNA from 1 species